AAAAAAGUAGAGUUUUUCCAAAAAUAUUUUUUGCGACAGUUAUUUGAUAUCAUAUAAUAUAAAUAAAAUAACAACAAAUUAAAUAUAUUUAAUAUAUGAAAAAUAAUAAACAACAAUUAAUAUAUGUUCCCUUCGGUCAUCUCUCCACUCCACCCUCAUUCCAUUCGCAUGCCUUCACUCCACCGCCCCAUUCUGCCUCUCAAUCUCUGAAUUCUUUGAAGGUCUUCUCCGAACGACGACCAGGUCCAUCAUUGCCACUGCCCUAUCGUGCCUGUCUCCCCACUCCAACGCAGCUGAUACCUCCUCUGUCCUACUCUGUUCAAUCUGAUCGUGGCCAUAAUCUCCAAUCCGCCGCAUUCUCUUGAACAUUCAAUCUGCAUCUGUGUCCUCCUCUAUCGCUAAGUUGUCUAUUCCUUUUAUAUUUCUCUAUCUUUUUGUUAACUUGUUCUCUGUAAUCUUUCCCUCAACUCCAUGUCAAUCUGUCUGUAAUGUGUGCAAUUUUAAAUUUUGUCUGAAUUUCAUUCUUUGGACAAACAAGAUUUAAGACUGAAGCUAAACGAGAUCACUAUUUGAGAAUGGGUGAAUGAAUUCUUAGUUUUUCCUUGUCUUGUUUAGGGUUUAGGAUGAUAAUGGGUGAAAUGUAUAUUUAGUUUCUAUAUUGUUUGUUUUCUUAGGGUGAAAUGUACAUUUAGCUUUUGUAUUGGGUGAAAUGAGCGAAAUGAAUUUGUAUUUGUUUGUUUUCUUUAUGAUUUCGUAGUAGCUGAGGAUUUCAAAUGCAGAACUCAGCAAUCAAAAUAGUCAAAUGGCCAAAUGGAUGUCAAAUAAUUAAUUCAAGAUGCCAAAAAUUAAAAACCUCAAAUAUGACAGGUGCUAAUUAAUUAAUUGGGCAAAUGGAAAAUGGGUAUUGCCAAAUAAUUUGCUAAUUAAUUAAUCAUGCAUAAUUAUUAAUGCAGAAAUAUGUGUAAGUAAUUUACACCCAAUGAAUGUGAGAUGGGUGUCAAAUAAUUAAAAGGAUGCAAAUAAUUAAAAGAGAUCAAAUGGGUACCAAAUGAUUAAAAGGAUGCAAAUAAUUAAAAGAUGUCAAAUGGGUGCCAAAUGAUUAACACAACAACUAAUUAAUGAGUGGUUUAAAUGAAUAAUUAAUACAACACCCAAAUGGGUGCCAAAUAAUUAAGUCAGUAUCAUCAAACAUGAAUAAAAAAAGACCUUACAGGUUUGCCUUAAAUGCAAAAAGUUGUGUGUUGAUACUCUUCACCUCUUCCCAAAAAAUUUCUUUUACGUGUCCCCCUUCUCUAUCAAAUAAUACUCCUAGCAAAAAAAAUCCCCCCAAGUUGAAUCUCUUCAUUCUCUUUUUAUAGGGCAAUGUCUCAUUUUUUAGAUAGAAGUAGAGUGGUUUUAGAUAGUGAAGUGGAGUACAACACAAAAAAGGGAAGAAGGUGAAAGAGUGGGAGAACGUGAGAGAUUGGGAGAAAGUGGGAGCGUGGUGAUCAAGGAAAACAGAGGAUGGUUGAGAAAAAUAGGGAGAAGAAAAAAACCUUUUACUUUUAAUUUUAAUUUUAAAUAUGUUUUUAUUUUUAUUUUUGCUUUAAAACAUAAAUUUAAAAAUUAAGAUUUAAAAUUAAAAUUUUCAAUUUCAAUUCAAAUUCAAAUUCUUUUAAAAAAUAAUAAAUAAAUGAAAAAAAUAAAAAAGGCAGGACAAAAUACAGUAUCUGCAGCUGUGUGAGAAGAAAAUAUUUGAUGUUGACAAUGUUAAUAUCAGGUCCAAAGCAACCGAGAUACGAUAUCAGUACGUACUUAGCACCCUUAAUUGAUGACCUACAAAUUUUGUGGGAAGAUGGAGUUCGUUGUUUCGAUGCAUAUAAGGAAGAAUAUUUCACACUGUUGGCUGUCUUAUUGUGGACUAUCAACGAUUUUCUAGCAUGCAAUAAUCUAUGCGGGUUUAGUGUGAAAGGAUAUAAGGCUUGUCCAAUAUGUGGAGAGGAGCUUACUUCAAUAAGAUUGCAACAUGGAAAAAAAAUGUCAUACAUGAGACACAUUAGGUAUUUGCCAAGACAUCAUCCAUACAGAUUACAAAAAAAGAAAAAUUAAUGGGAAGCAAGAGCAUGGAAGUCCUCCACAACCCUUGUCGGGAGAAGCCAUGUACUUUAAGCUGAAAUACAUAAUAUUUUCAUGUGGGAAGAAGUGUGGGAAGACAUUGCAUAAUAAAGGUGGCAAUGACUAUUGGAAAAGAACAAAAUUUUUUCAACUACCAUAUUGGAAACACUUGCAUAUAUGACACUGUCCAGACGUAACGUAUAUUGAAAAAAAUGGAUGCAUGAACAUGGUGGGCACCUUGCUUGAUAUACCAGGAAAAAGUAAAGAUGAGUUGAAAUACUAGACUUGACUUAGUUGAAAUGAAAAUUAAACCAGAAUUUGCACCAACGUUUACUGAUAAUAAAACUUACAUACCUGCGACAUGUUAUACAUUGUCAAGAGAAGAGAAGUAUCGGUUUUGUAAGAUUUUGUCUGAACUUAAAGUUCCAGAAGGUUAUUCAUCAAAUAUUAGCAGUCGUGUCUAUUUGGAUGACUUAAAAUUGAUCGGUCUUAAGUUGCAUGACUGUCAUGUUUUAAUGCAACAACUACUUUCAAUUGGCAUACGUUCAGUCCUACCGAAGAAUGUGAGGUACACUAUCGAUAGACUAUGCUUUUUUUUCAAUGCGAUUUACACCAAAAGUUUUUCUGUCUUAGAUCUUGAUGCAUUGCAAGAAGAUACAGUUUUGACUUUAUGCAAUCUUGAGAAGUAUUUUCCACCCUCGUUCUUUACAAUUAUGGUUCACCUUGUCGUUUAUCUCGUUAGAGAAGUAAAACUUUGUGAAUUUGUAUAUUUGUGGUGGAUGUACCCAUUUGAACGAUGCAUGAAAGUGUUGAAAAGUUAUGUUCACAAUAGAACUCGACCGAAAGGAUGCAUUGCAGAAGCAAGUAUAUGUGAGGAGACAAUUGAAUUAUGUUCAAAUUUUCUUCCUGGAUUAGAUCCUAUUGGACUUGGGUCACUCAAUUCAAGGGUAAACAUACAAAGCGAUAGACAACUGUCAGCAGGAACAUACGUUCGAUCUGAUGUAUAACAACUGAAGCAAGCACAUUUUUACGUUUUACAAAACACUGAAGAAGUGCACCUAUACGUAGAGUAAGCAUUCGUAUGAUUAUAUACUGCAAUUAAUUUACCCUUAAGGAACCAUUUUAAUGUAUGAAACAUUUUGUAGAUAACAUUUAAAUCAAUUAAAGAUGAAAAAUCGCAGAAGAGUAAAAAAUGAACAAUGGCUACAAGUUGAACAUAAUCAAUCAUUCAGUGCAUGUUUUAAGGAUCGGGUACUUAAACAAUCAAAAUUCAUUUUCGUUUCAUCUAAUUGUUCAAUAUUUAGAACGACUGAUUGUUCUCUUCAAUAGGUUGAUGAGUGAACUACAGGAAGGAAAGGUUCUCUCGAACACUAUACGUUGGCUUGCACAUGGACCCCAUCCUGCUUUAAUGAUGUAUGAUGGGUACAUAAUUAAUGGAACGUCUUACCACAUAAAUUAAAGUUUCGUGAUGACCACCGAACUGUUCAAAACAGUGGGAUUAUGUUAGUCGCAACAACAAUGCAAGUGUCUAGUGUGAAGGACAAAAACCCGGUCGUUUGUGACAUGUCUUUCUAUGGCACCAUUCAAAGAUUUGGAAAGUCAACUACAAUACGUUUAAGGUUGUUCUUUCCAAAUGUAGUUGGGUUAAAAAUAAUGAUGGUGUUCGAAAGGAUGAUCUUAAUUACACACUGGUGAACCUUAGCCGAAUUGGUCACUCUUCAAAUUUGUUCAUUAUUGCCACACACGAGAGACAAGUAUUCUUGUCACAGAUCCUGUUGAUGCAAGAUGGUCCGUUGUUGUGAUGCCACCCGAGAAGGACUUUCCCUACAAAUGUGUUGAUGAUGACAUAGGAGAUAUGUUACCGCACUAUCCCCCACUCUCUUCUUACCACACAACUUGUGAUAUUGACGAAGGUGGUGAAACAUAUGCUAGACCUGACUCUGAAGGCACAUGAGUUAGCAAUUGACUUUGAGAAGUAUGUAUAGUAAGAUGUGUACACUUUGUUAUUUGCGUGUGUUAUUCAAUGUUCAUUCCAUAGAUUUAAUCAUUGUUGUUUUUUUCUUCUUUGUAGGACAAUUUCAUUUUUAGAUAUGGCUACUUCAGAAUCUACCGUUAUCAAGUUUUCUUUUCAUGUUCAACAAUUUCUUUGUUUUCAAAUUUCGAAGAAUUUUAUGUAGUAGAUAUUCUAAUUUGAAAGUGUUACGUGUGCUAUCAUGCAUAUUUAUUGUGAACUUUGCGUAAGUAAGUGUCUAUUUUAUUUGAGAACUAAGUGUUUAUUAACAUCUAAUUAUGAAAGUCGUGUUUGUAAACUUUUUGGUUAUGUUAAGACUUUUGGGUUAUUUCACAAUUCACAUUUACAUUUACAUGAGUAUUGUUACUAACAGUCUGUUGGGUUAUGUUUUAAAUAACAUUUAUGUUUGCAGUAAUGGUUCAUUCAGAUGAUGAUCAACUUGCUACACCCCUUGAAAGAGAGGAAACUAGUAGCCAGAAAAAGAAACGUGGCCCUACGGAAAUGAAAGAUAUAACAUGCUUUAGUAGUGAGGGGUGGAGAAUGGUUAUUCAGUACAACGAAUUAGGUCAACCUAUUGGACCGAAUGCAACGAAGUUGAAAAGUUUUAUUGGAAUGACCGUAAGGUUUCACGUACUCUACGUGGCAUGUCGUUCCAAAAGAGAUGAAGGAGAAGAUCUAUGAACUAAUUGAGGCAUGCUUCAUUCUUGACCCUAAGUUGAAGAAAAUUAUACUUCAAAAUUUGGGAGUAUGCUUUCGCGAUUUCAAGUCCAGAUUAAUAACUACGUACGUACUACCAUUUAAGGACGAUGCGGAGAAAUUAAAACACCCACCAGCAGAGUACUCAUUCAUUGAUCAAGACCAUUAGGAUGAAUUUGUGGGUUCACGGUUGAAGGAAGAUUCUGGAAAAAAAAGUGAAGAAGGUAAACUGAAAAGGAAGCUAUACAAAUACAACCAUAAAACAUCUCGCAAGGGGUAUGCAAAUCUUGUUAAGGAAUUGUAUGCGUCUUUUUUGUCCAAUUAAAUAGAUCGAUCGAUAGUAUGAAAACAUGCGCGCAUGGAACGUAAAGGAGAGUUCCCAGAUAAAGAGACGAAGGACGUUGUCAAUUGUCAUUAUUCAAUUUUAGUGGUUAUAUAUGAUAAAACAAACGGUUGAAUUGUUGCUUUACAAAACAAGGUUCAACUGGAGUCGACAACUUCAUGAGUUUUCUUUCAAAGAAUAUUUUCAGAGAUGAAGGCUUACCGGUUGGUCGUUUAUGCUUGUGCAGUAAAUUUUGUUAUAUGUAUUCUGAUGCUAUUUACAAUGGUUUUGAUUAAGGGUUAGAAUUUUGUACUUGUAAAUUGUUGAAACUUGAUUGAAAAUGUACGAAUAUUACAAAGUGUAUUAUAGCGUAUA